AACGAACGCUGGCGGCAUGCCUAACACAUGCAAGUCGAACGAGACCUUCGGGUCUAGUGGCGCACGGGUGCGUAACGCGUGGGAACCUGCCCUUAGGUUCGGAAUAACUCCCCGACAGGGGUGCUAAUACCGGAUAAUGUCUUCGGACCAAAGAUUUAUCGCCUUUGGAUGGGCCCGCGUUGGAUUAGCUAGUUGGUAGGGUAAAAGCCUACCAAGGCGACGAUCCAUAGCUGGUCUGAGAGGAUGAUCAGCCACACUGGGACUGAGACACGGCCCAGACUCCUACGGGAGGCAGCAGUGGGGAAUAGUGGACAAUGGGCGAAAGGCUGAUCCAGCAAUGCCGCGUGAGUGAUGAAGGCCUUAGGGUUGUAAAGCGCUUUUAACCGGGAUGAUAAUGACAGUACCGGGAGAAUAAGCUCCGGUUAACUCCGUG
rnacentral:rRNA from 1 species